CGGCGGACGGGUGAGUAAUGCCUAGGAAUCUGCCUGGUAGUGGGGGACAACGUUUCGAAAGGAACGCUAAUACCGCAUACGUCCUACGGGGGAAAGCAGGGGACCUUCGGGCCUUGCGCUAUCAGAUGAGCCUAGGUCGGAUUAGCUAGUUGGUGAGGUAAUGGCUCACCAAGGCGACGAUCCGUAACUGGUCUGAGAGGAUGAUCAGUCACACUGGAACUGAGACACGGUCCAGACUCCUACGGGAGGCAGCAGCC
rnacentral:rRNA from 1 species